rnacentral:misc_RNA from 1 species
AGUUUGGCGACCGCGAAGAAGGAAAAAGGGCGGGCGGGCGGCUGUCCUCUCACCGUCCUCACCCCGCGAGGCCCGGCCCGCUCCUCCGUCGUGGAUUUCGCGGCGAUCCCCCCGGCAGCUCUUUGCAAAGCUGCUUGAAACUUCUCCCAAACUCGGCAUGGAUACGACUGCGGCGGCGGCGCUGCCUGCUUUUGUGGCGCUCUUGCUCCUCUCUCCUUGGCCUCUCCUGGGAUCGGCCCAAGGCCAGUUCUCCGCAGGUGGCUGUACUUUUGAUGAUGGUCCAGGGGCCUGUGAUUACCACCAGGAUCUGUAUGAUGACUUUGAAUGGGUGCAUGUUAGUGCUCAAGAGCCUCAUUAUCUACCACCCGAGAUGCCCCAAGGUUCCUAUAUGAUAGUGGACUCUUCAGAUCACGACCCUGGAGAAAAAGCCAGACUUCAGCUGCCUACAAUGAAGGAGAACGACACUCACUGCAUUGAUUUCAGUUACCUAUUAUAUAGCCAGAAAGGACUGAAUCCUGGCACUUUGAACAUAUUAGUUAGGGUGAAUAAAGGACCUCUUGCCAAUCCAAUUUGGAAUGUGACUGGAUUCACGGGUAGAGAUUGGCUUCGGGCUGAGCUAGCAGUGAGCACCUUUUGGCCCAAUGAAUAUCAGGUAAUAUUUGAAGCUGAAGUCUCAGGAGGGAGAAGUGGUUAUAUUGCCAUUGAUGACAUCCAAGUACUGAGUUAUCCUUGUGAUAAAUCUCCUCAUUUCCUCCGUCUAGGGGAUGUAGAGGUGAAUGCAGGGCAAAACGCUACAUUUCAGUGCAUUGCCACAGGGAGAGAUGCUGUGCAUAACAAGUUAUGGCUCCAGAGACGAAAUGGAGAAGAUAUACCAGUAGCCCAGACUAAGAACAUCAAUCAUAGAAGGUUUGCCGCUUCCUUCAGAUUGCAAGAAGUGACAAAAACUGACCAGGAUUUGUAUCGCUGUGUAACUCAGUCAGAACGAGGUUCCGGUGUGUCCAAUUUUGCUCAACUUAUUGUGAGAGAACCGCCAAGACCCAUUGCUCCUCCUCAGCUUCUUGGUGUUGGGCCUACAUAUUUGCUGAUCCAACUAAAUGCCAACUCGAUCAUUGGCGAUGGUCCUAUCAUCCUGAAAGAAGUAGAGUACCGAAUGACAUCAGGAUCCUGGACAGAAACCCAUGCAGUCAAUGCUCCAACUUACAAAUUAUGGCAUUUAGAUCCAGAUACCGAAUAUGAGAUCCGAGUUCUACUUACAAGACCUGGUGAAGGUGGAACGGGGCUCCCAGGACCUCCACUAAUCACCAGAACAAAAUGUGCAGAACCUAUGAGAACCCCAAAGACAUUAAAGAUUGCUGAAAUACAGGCAAGACGGAUUGCUGUGGACUGGGAAUCCUUGGGUUACAACAUUACGCGUUGCCACACUUUUAAUGUCACUAUCUGCUACCAUUACUUCCGUGGUCACAACGAGAGCAAGGCAGACUGUUUGGACAUGGACCCCAAAGCCCCUCAGCAUGUUGUGAACCAUCUGCCACCUUAUACAAAUGUCAGCCUCAAGAUGAUCCUAACCAAUCCAGAGGGAAGGAAGGAGAGUGAAGAGACAAUUAUUCAAACUGAUGAAGAUGUGCCUGGUCCCGUACCAGUAAAAUCUCUUCAAGGAACAUCCUUUGAAAAUAAGAUCUUCUUGAACUGGAAAGAACCUUUGGAUCCAAAUGGAAUCAUCACUCAAUAUGAGAUCAGCUAUAGCAGUAUAAGAUCAUUUGAUCCUGCAGUUCCAGUGGCUGGACCUCCCCAGACUGUAUCAAAUUUAUGGAACAGUACACACCAUGUCUUUAUGCAUCUCCACCCUGGAACCACGUACCAGUUUUUCAUAAGAGCCAGCACGGUCAAAGGCUUUGGUCCAGCCACAGCCAUCAAUGUCACCACCAAUAUCUCAGCUCCAACUUUACCUGACUAUGAAGGAGUUGAUGCCUCUCUCAAUGAAACUGCCACCACAAUAACUGUAUUGUUGAGACCAGCACAAGCCAAAGGUGCUCCUAUCAGUGCUUAUCAGAUUGUUGUGGAAGAACUGCACCCACACCGAACCAAGAGAGAAGCCGGAGCCAUGGAAUGCUACCAGGUUCCUGUCACAUACCAAAAUGCCAUGAGUGGGGGUGCACCGUAUUACUUUGCUGCAGAACUCCCCCCGGGAAACCUACCUGAGCCUGCCCCGUUCACUGUGGGUGACAAUCGGACCUACCAAGGCUUUUGGAACCCUCCUUUGGCUCCGCGCAAAGGAUACAACAUCUAUUUCCAGGCGAUGAGCAGUGUGGAGAAGGAAACUAAAACCCAGUGCGUACGCAUUGCUACAAAAGAUUUAAAGUAGAACCAAAAUUGUAAAAGUGUCCCACAUUGACCUCUGAAGUUCUUUAGAUAUGUCAUGCUAUGUUUCUGUAACUGAGAAA